rnacentral:snRNA from 1 species
AGCUUUGCACAGUGGCAGUAUUGUAGCCAGUGAGGUUUAUCCAAGGCGUGAUUAUUGCUAAUUGAAAACUUUUCCCAAUACCCCACCAUGAUUACUGGAAAUAUAGUCAGCAUUGGCAAUUUUUGGCAGUCUCUAUGGGGA